AUUUUGAGUAUAUAUCUCGACUAUCAAAUUAGUUCAAUUGUUGACUGUAUUUUGGUUUGCUAUUGACUGUAUUUUGAUUUUGAUUAGAUUUGGUGUUAUUGUGACAUUGGAGUUCAAAGACUUCAAUCCUUUUCAAAGCUUGAAGGUAAACAUGAAGGGAGUUGUGGCAGAAAUUAUUUGAGCUUCCUCUCAAUGUUCAAUGGCUUGCUGAAUGUGUUCUCAAUAUUUUGUCCGAGAAAUCACAAGCUUAUGCAAUGCAGGUGAGUGUACAAGUCAGGGAUAAUGAAGAUCAUAGAGGUAUUAUGAGCAUUGAGAACCUGCUCAAACACUUCAGAGAUGAAGUUGCAGCUUUCCACUUAUUAUAUCUGUUUACUUUGCUAAUGACCUAGUGCUAGCACUGCAGUACAACAUAGAGACAGUUUUCCACUGAUUAUAUCUGUUAGUUUUUUUUUUUUAU